AAUGAGAAGAAUCUGUAUUGAUCUCAGUAUAGAAAAUAUCCCUUUACCCACUGCACUCCUAUCACCUAUAAGUGCUCUCUCCUGGACUAUGAGAAGCUUCUUGAGGUCUUCUAUUAACUAAUACUAAGAGAGUGAGAGAGAGAUUGUGGAAAGUUCAGGUGUCAAGUGUGACUCAGCAUGUGAGCGCCUAAGCCUGCUCACAUGUUCCACGUUUGCUUAGUGUCUCAGAGGAGCACUGCAAAGGAAAAUGAGGAGAUGAUGGACAAGGCUGAGGUUUCUUUCGGUGCCUUUGUGAUCAGGUUCAGCCAGGCUGCCAAACCAUAACUUUUUUUUAAUGAUUUAUCACUGAUUACAAUUGAUCACAUUAUUUAUUGCAUGUUGGAAUUCCGUUAUUUUGCAUUUUAAAAUUUAAAAAAAUGGGGCUUUUAUUUUGAAUUUUCGUACUUUCUUAAGAUGAGAGUACUUUACCUAAUGUUUUAAUACAACCCUGCUUUUAUUUUGAAAUAUAGUAAGGACCCUCUGGUAGAGCGAAUUCGGUAACAUCACUUAUUUAACCACGGAAACAGGAACUCGUUAUGAAUCGAAAUCUAAAUGAAAACAGAUAAAGGGAACAGUAUAAAAGUGUAAUGUUUGUUGUCAUAAUGUGGAUAUUUCUUUUGACUCGUCAACUGAGCUGCCUAGAAGUUUUUAGAUUUAAAUGCCACAUUCAAACAUGCAGCAGUGUCGUUCUGUUCCAUUACUGUGACUAAAGGGAGACACUGCGGAGGCUCAUCCACUAAAGGGACAAAAUAGCAAAAUAGCAUUAAUCGCCACAUAAAAUUGUAAUGCAUUGAUUUCAGACCUUAAUUAUUCGCCAUUAACUUGUUAAUGCUGACAGCCCUAUAGCAUUUUCACCAGGCCUUCAUGAUGGAUUCCUCAAUCACAACAUACAUUUAAUGCCACUCUGAAGGCAGUGUGCAUAUAAAAAAAACAGCAAUUUACCCGACUGUGGAUUAUUUAUGAGCAUUUUUAUAGGUGAAAGGUAUCUGUUUGGACAGUUCCUUUUUGAUUCCUUGACCUUUUGUACAGACAUAUAGAGCAAGAGGAAUUUCAGUGGUUAACAAAGUGCUGAGAUUAUUAG